AGUGCGCCUGCGCCGCCUCCGCGCCCGCGGCCAACCAGUCUCUCCGCUUGCGAUGCCCGCCCCUCCGCUAGCCAACGCCUCGUCCCUGCUGGUAGACCUGGAGGGCUCGGGGAGCCGCAGCUGGAGGCGGAGCCGGGGGUGGGAGGACACGCAAGCCUGCGGAGGACCUGGUCAGCUGCUAAGCCAGGAGACCCAGAGAGCUGAGAGAGCUAGUGAAGAGAGAGACAAAGAGAAAGGCAAGGGGAAAGUGAACACCUGAAGUAGGUACGGCGAUCCUAAAGCCAACGAAACUCAAAAGAAAUUGGAGGCGUAGUCUGACCUACUCCCUCUGGGCCUCUGCCUUGCCUGUUAUUAUUGAGUCUGUUCUCCCGGAAAGAUCAGAGCUCCAUAAAUUAUUAACUUUCAGCAGGCUGAGUAACACAUUCAGCAAAAGGCACAAUGGCUGAAUCCACUUCUGGGUCAUCUUUCUUCUCCUCUUGGUUGGUUUACAAGAGUAGUGAAUACUUCAGUUACGGACAGAAAGAAAGACACAAACUCUGAAACAGAGACUUCACUUUUCACUACAAAGAAAUCAAAGUCACUGAGUUCUCAUUGUUGUGUGUAUCUGCUGCCCCUAUGCAAAAAUAGGGGAUUAAAACUUAAUUGUAGGAGCAAGAACUGGAUAAAAGAUUGAUCUACUGAUUCAGGUAA